GAUGAAGAACGUAGCGAAAUGCGAUAAGUAAUGUGAAUUGCAGAAUUCAGUGAAUCAUCGAAUCUUUGAACGCACCUUGCACUCCUUGGUAUUCCGAGGAGUACGCCUGUUCGAGUGUUAUGAAGCUCUCAAAACGCAAUUGGCUUAAAACCUGAUUGUUGUUUUGGAUUUGAACUUUGCCGUGUUAUAACGGCUGGUUUUAAAAGUAUUAGCUGGUACUAGAACGAAUUGGUUCUACUCAACGUGAUAAUUAUCUGAUCGUUGAGGACAUUCCUUUCACGAGGAAUGGCCAUAGUAAAUUCAAUGGACUGCUUCUAAUCUGGCUUUAAUUCUUUAUUGGAUUAACCACUUUUCAAAUCUGACCUCGAAUCAGGUGGGAAUACCCGCUGAACUUAAGCAUAUCAAUAAGCGGAGGA
rnacentral:misc_RNA from 1 species